CACGUACUGUGCGAACGUUAUUCGGAAUCACUGGGCUUAAAGGGUACGUAGGCGGUUUGGAAAGUCAGAUGUGAAAUGCCACAGCUCAACUGUGGCACUGCGUUUGAAACUUCCAGGCUAGAGUAUUCCAGGGGUGUGCGGAACUGCCAGUGGAGCGGUGAAAUGCGUUGAUAUUGGCAGGAACACCGGAGGCGAAGGCGGCACACUGGGGGAUAACUGACGCUGAGGUACGAAAGCCAGGGUAGCGAACGGG
rnacentral:rRNA from 1 species